rnacentral:lncRNA from 1 species
GUUCAUAAUGAAGAGAAAUAGUAAAUUUAGACAGCAGUAGAAGAAUGUGCAUUUUUAAUUUAUACAUAUUGCUCAUUUGCGGCAACAAUGUCAUAACUCAAAAAACUCGUUUUUUCAGAUGUAUUUGAAGUUUUAAAACUUGUAUUACUUUUUGAAAACUAUAACACAAAAUAAAAAAAUUGUUCCAUCUGGUCAAGUAACAUUUGGUUAUGACGUGGACAUGAGUUAAUGACAGAAAUAUAUACCUCAGAGUUUCCCUUACCUCAGAACGACCCCAAGUUUUACUUAUGACAUUCUUGCUGCUAAAAUCAAUUUUGCAAGGCCACUUAAGAAGAAUUGUGAUGUUAUUGUUGAUAACAAAGUGUUAUUACUCAACGAUUAUCAAACAAAUUUCUACUUGUGACACUAUUAUUUUUAUCCAGCAACUUAAAAUAAUAAAAGACAAUAUUGCAACCAAAUCCAUAGGAAUGAAAUACCAAUUAAUACAUGAAUUGCAUAUUUUAUUUCUAUAUCAAAAUACAAAAUAAUUAUAUUCAGUACCUACAAUUGCUCAUAAAAUGAUUUAUAAUAUUUCGGUAUAUGGUUUUUCUGUACUAAUUGAAGAAGGUCUUGUUUCUUGUUAUUAGCUAUAGUUGGUUUUUUGUUAAAUGCUUGGGUCAGUGUAAUAUUAUCCUUCAUCUUUUUCUUUCUAAUGAUAUCUGCCACCUUAAAGUUGUCAUCCUCAUAAGAUGUUUUAAAAAAAAGGGAAGUCGGUGAUUCGCUUUCCGCGUGGAGAAUCUUCACUGUAGCAAGUUUUAUCUGUGACAUAUCCAGGGGCCUCAUUUCAGUCGCUAGAGCUUUAAUGUCGAAGAAAUUUUCGGAGCACAAUUCCGUAAUGUUGAAUGACUUUCCUGUUUUUUUUUUUUUUUUUUUUCAAUUCAGAUUGCACCAAUGAAUGAUUCCGCC